rnacentral:rRNA from 1 species
AGCAGAGAUGCUUUGGUGCCUUCGGGAACUCUGAGACAGGUGCUGCAUGGCUGUCGUCAGCUCGUGUUGUGAAAUGUUGGGUUAAGUCCCGCAACGAGCGCAACCCUUAUCCUUUGUUGCCAGCGGUUAGGCCGGGAACUCAAAGGAGACUGCCAGUGAUAAACUGGAGGAAGGUGGGGAUGACGUCAAGUCAUCAUGGCCCUUACGAGUAGGGCUACACACGUGCUACAAUGGCGCAUACAAAGAGAAGCGACCUCGCGAGAGCAAGCGGACCUCAUAAAGUGCGUCGUAGUCCGGAUUGGAGUCUGCAACUCGACUCCAUGAAGUCGGAAUCGCUAGUAAUCGUGGAUCAGAAUGCCACGGUGAAUACGUUCCCGGGCCUUGUACACACCGCCCGUCACACCAUGGGAGUGGGUUGCAAAAGAAGUAGGUAGCUUAACCUUCGGGAGGGCGCUUACCACUUUGUGAUUCAUGACUGGGGUGAAGUCGUAACAAGGUAACCGUAGGGGAACCUGCGGUUGGAUCACCUCCUUACCUUAAAGAA